GGGGCAGUUAACAAGAACAGAAGGGCUUCUGAUCAAAUCAGAGCAGGGCAUCCAUCGUGCUGAACCUUUGUGCCAACCAUGUGAAUACAUACCUCCAAGACACUGUUUGCGGCACUGUGACUGGGGAUGCUGUCUUGGAGCACACGUCAACACACUUUUCUUCAGGGGCCGUUAACAAGAACAGAAGGGCUUCUGAUCAAAUCAGAGCAGGGCAUCCAUCGUGCUGAACCUUUGUGCCAAACAUGUGAAUACAUACCUCCAAGACACUGUUUGCGGCACUGUGACUGGGGAUGCUGACUUGGAGCACACGUCAACACACUUUUCUUCAGGGGCCGUUAACAAGAACAGAAGGGCUUCUGAUCAAAUCAGAGCAGGGCAUCCAUCGUGCUGAACCUUUGUGCCAACCAUGUGAAUACAUACCUCCAAGACACUGUUUGCGGCACUGUGACUGGGGAUGCUGACUUGGAGCACACGUCAACACACUUUUCUUCAGGGGCCGUUAACAAGAACAGAAGGGCUUCUGAUCAAAUCAGAGCAGGGCAUCCAUCGUGCUGAACCUUUGUGCCAACCAUGUGAAUACAUACCUCCAAGACACUGUUUGCGGCACUGUGACUGGGGAUGCUGACUUGGAGCACACGUCAACACACUUUUCUUCAGGGGCCGUUAACAAGAACAGAAGGGCUUCUGAUCAAAUCAGAGCAGGGCAUCCAUCGUGCUGAACCUUUGUGCCAACCAUGUGAAUACAUACCUCCAAGACACUGUUUGCGGCACUGUGACUGGGGAUGCUGACUUGGAGCACACGUCAACACACUUUUCUUCAGGGGCCGUUAACAAGAACAGAAGGGCUUCUGAUCAAAUCAGAGCAGGGCAUCCAUCGUGCUGAACCUUUGUGCCAACCAUGUGAAUACAUACCUCCAAGACACUGUUUGCGGUACUG